AUCCGGCUGACGAGUUCCAAAUGGGACGAAACGUGCGUCCUGGAU
rnacentral:hammerhead_ribozyme from 1 species